GAUACGACGUGCAAGUGAGUUGUGCAUCCAGUGGCAAUAACAAAGCUCGGGACGAGUGUUCUAAGCAGUUACGUAUUGCGUGUGACGCUUAGCUUGGCAGAAGUUACUGACGCGUACAAUUCAAGUUAAUGUGUAAACGUCGAGCGGUAUAACCUUUAACAGCUGUAUGAACUAUUUAUAUUUCCUCAGGUGUUCAGUGAAAAUCAGUUGUUUUACAACGGAAAAUGAGACGUCGCCACAAGUGUUGCACACGCCUCUAUGCAUAAUCACCGAUUAGUUUUCGACGAAGUGAGUCUUUUCCUUCGUGCAAAACGAAGUUGGAUGUGACAGUGCAGUUGGAUACAGAGGUGGUGGAAGCAGUGCAGUUCCUCUUCAGGUUGCAGUCGAAACUUUUAUAAGAAAAUGAGAUUCAUCAGAUGUAAUGAGAAUGCUGUUACAUUAUGCAAAUUAUUUGGUAACCAAUAUAUGAAGCUGGACUGAUGAGAAUCUUUGUAUCAGAGAAGAGCUUGAAAUGCCACUGGCUGAAAAUAAAUAAAUAAAUAAAUAAGUCUUCACAGACGAAGAAUGAAUGAAAAACACUGUUGCUUCUAACAUGCUGUAAGACUGUGGCAUAUCUUUGGUGCAGGGUCAAAGGGGCUCACGUCAAAACUAUAAACUUUUUUUUGAGGAGAGCUACAGCAAAGACCACAAUCCACUCUAAAAUCCAAAUAGAAACAGAUGAUGCAAAAGGCGACGGCGAUUUGAAUGAACAUUAGCAUGUGAGCCCUAAGGGGUUCAUGAAUCCUUUUCAAGAUAUUUAUCUGGCUAUCACAAGGUUGCAAAUGAGGGCAUGGCUGUUUUGAAGUGCACUGAAAUAUGGUUUUGUAGUGCAAGUGUCUUUUAGAUGAAGUAAUUGAAGAUAACUGGACGAACAUGCAUAUUACUGAAAUCAACUUCCUUUACGCAAUUUGGACUAGUUUUUGUGCAUAUGAAAAGCAAAAUUAAAAAAAGAAAUGUGAAGCUAGUAAUUGAGAAGUCAUGUUGUACGAGUAUAUAAGUGUUGCAGAAACGUGUACGUGAAGCUGCCAAUUCAAAUUUCUUUUUAUGUAGAGAUAUAUGUAUUUUUUAUGUAAAGGUAAAUGUAAUUUUUCCUUCUUUAUUUUAUUUGUAUAUGCUUCCUGUGUAUCUAGUAAGCUGCCAUUUUUGGAGUUGAGUGUACAGUUUAGUAAGAUUUCUGUUUUAAGUGACUUUACGUAUGUGCAAAUUUUGCCUGGAAAUAAUAUCUGGCACUGUGUGAAGAUGUCCUGCAUUUUAUCAGAUCAUCCUUUAUUUUAGCUCAAGUGUUCCCUUGUCCUGACAAAAUACAUACCAGGGCAUAUACUGUCCUGUUUCUCAUUAACUGUCCCUUAUAUUUUGAAAGGUGCAUUUUCAAGAGAGAUGUAGCAUAACCAAAAGGAGAAUAAACGUGGUCAUACCCAAAGAAUAAAGAAAAUACUCCUGUUGAUUAAACCAAACUAAACCAUGGAUGAUUUUUGAAAUCCUUUUGUUGGUACUACUUAAAGCUUUCACAUGGCAAGCAGUUCAUCACUUCCACUUUCUUUGUGCAUUGCCUAUUGCUUCAGCUCACCACAUUUAAAAAUGUGGUUUUAAUGGAUUUAAAGAGUCACAUCUAACCUUACUUGAUGUUGCAUAUUGCAAACAUUUCAUAUAAAUGCCAAAAAGAAAGUACAUAUUUACUGACUAAAGCUAAGUUUCCAUUUCUGAAAUUAGAAUAGUAAAGCGAUAACGUAUUUUGCACAUUGUGUAAAAGUACUUCUUGAGUCUACAAUGGGAGUCAAUAUGAUGUUCUGCAAUACACUUUGUCACAAAGUAUGAUGUCUUUUUGCACAAAACAUGAGAAUAGUGUCACUGCAAAAGAAGAAGAAAAUCAUCUCACUGCUGAGGGAGCUUCAGUAGCUUUUCAUGCAAUGUAAUGAAACAUCGUGUGGCGAGGGCCUCCCGGCGGGUAGACCUGAUCGCCUGGUUCAAGUCUUUUGAGGUGACAUCACUCUUCAGCGACUUGCACAUCGAUGAGGAUGAAAUGGUGAUGAUGGAGAUGACAGUAACAC
rnacentral:lncRNA from 1 species